rnacentral:lncRNA from 1 species
UUUUUAAUACUUCAUAUAGGAGUGUUAAUAUUGUCCACUAUGAUAGACUGCAAUGAAGAAAAGCCUCCAGUCAUCUCAGUCACAGGAAAUGUUCAACGCUUUCAACCCCUCUCCUACCAACUCUUUUUCUUUUCCCCUUAGAUUCCUUAAAGUGGUAGCUGCCCUUUGUCCAAUGGGGUUAAUAUGCUUAUUCCUAAAAUAUUUAUUUAUUUUAAGGCAUAUUCAGCAGAAAGAUAGAAUACAUAAAAAAAUACAUGUCCAAUUUUCAUGCACUGGGAGGCAUUCAGAAUGUGGAGAAUUUUAGAUAGGUAGUAUAAUAAAAGUAUAUGUUAUUUACUUUAUAAAAGUACAUAAUUUUAUAAAAUAAAGAUACAUCCUGUGUUACAUUGCAUUCUUAGUGGUAUCUUGGCUAUGCCCCAUGCUCAAACAUUAAUAUUUCUUUAGUGAAAUUCUAUUCAUACAAACUAGGGUAGAUAAAUAUUAUAGAAAGCCUCAGGUAAGAAUUGAACCACCAAAUCAGUCUUCAUGCAAACCUACUUCUUCUUUGUUGCCUACGAUUUUCAGAUCAGUUUAAAUAUCAUAGUUUUGAAUAAGGGACUGAUAACUGUCUGACUGUCAUACUAUUUAUUGGUGAUGGUUUCUAGACCCAUUCCUAUCUUCAUGUUCCAUGAAUACCAUUUAAUGGUGGUAUGCCUGUGGCUUUGCUCAAGUGUGUUCUAGCAUAGUUAGAGCAUAUUCUGCUCCAGGGUGAGAUAGCCCUGUGAUUUUAGAAGCUAACACCCCAAGGUAACUCACCAUCAGGAAGUAGUGAGAUUUAAUAAAUAGAUACAUAUCUCCAACUUCUAAAGGCUCAAGUAGGAAAGUCUGAGGCACAUUCUUUUGUCUCUCAAAAGAAUAUCCCAAUAGGAAUGAGUGUAUUUUGCUUAGUGUAAUCCAUACAAGAUACUGAUUGCAUUCCCUACCUAUUUCAUGUUAUCAUAUUUCACUCUCUUACUGAUUCUCCUGAAAUCACUUUCAAAUAGAUAAGUGCCAUUCAAAGGUCUGCUUCUUGCAGUAACACAUGCUAAGACAGGGACCCCCACAGAACACAGAUCUUCAGUGUAGAAGUUUUGUUUUUAUUUUUGCCAGACUUUUGUGUGUCUGUUAACCACUUUUUUCAUGUGUUAAACUUUUACCCGUUAAUGUCAGGUCCUGUAUUGUGUAAUAGGAACACCUUCCUGGUUUCUAACUAUCACUGUGAACAUUUACAAAUGCAGUACUGUUUAUUGUUGCUGCUGCCGAGGGGUCUCUUUCUGCUUCCCAUCCUCAAGGCCACUGUCAGGUUAAUGUCUUGACUAAGGUUUUUGUUUGUUUGUUUGUUUUUUGAAACUGGUAAUGACUUAAGAUAUUUGCUUCACGUUCACUCACAUUCACAGUGAACGAAUCUUCUCUUGGUUUGACCUUUAAUGUAUACACAAAAUAAUUGAUCUACACAUUACCUACGGAUGUCCAUGGGUGGAUGGGCAUUUGGGCUGGAGAGACUUUCUCUUAGCAUUCUCAGAAUUUUCUCAUGUUGAUUGAAAGAUGAACUUCACCUAUUAAAAUGAAAUGCAUUAUAGAGGCACUGAAAUCAUUAAUUAUGUUAUAGCUCCUUAUCUUUUUAUGACACAUAUUACUGCGUGUGUGUGUGUGUGUGUGUGUGUGUGUGCGUGUGUGUGUGUACUGCUUUAAAACGUCUGCUCAAUAGUCCAUUCUAGAGGCACAAGAACGCCUUACAGGAAGGCAGUAAAGUGGCAGAUGCGUCUUAAUGACAACUUCUCAAGUCAUUUAGAAACAAGGCACUUCUGGAUUCGUGGGUUUUUUUCUAUAACUAUGGCAACUGUGUACACAAAUGAUCCCAAAGAUGUUAGAACUUAUAAAUGAAAUCACUCGUAUAAUAUUUUAGACUGCUGGAAGUUAGUUUAAAAGCCACAACUGAUAGCAUUUUAAUAAAAUUAGCAUUUUUCUUACUAUACAAAUAAAUUCCUUGUCAUUAUCAGGACCCAGAAAAAGACAUUGAUUCAGUAUUAUGAGCUUAAACUUCUUUUAUUUUCUUCUUUGGAAACCUGCGUUGAAUGACUUAUUUCACCCCAUGUGUGUAUCACACUAGGAGGUAGUGGUGUCAAUUACUGGCUAGUAACUUACUGAAAAGCACCCAGAGCAUGAAGACUAACCUUAUGCAAACAGAGAAGGGCACGCCAGUUCACACACAUCUGUGCCCCAGCACCACCACAUGGCAAAAUAUGCAGGCUUGUUGGCAUGCUUCCAUGGCCCGGGGUUUCCAAGUGGUGGCUAAAGCUGUUCUCAUGCCCACCAUGGCCUAUGGCUGUCACUUGUCAGCUUGGGCAUACCUGUUCACAAGUGUGCCAUGUCUCACUGCUACCAUGUAGUGGCCUCGGCUUGCAUGUUUGCACAUCUGAACACGGAUAUAUAUAGGUACGUGUAAAGAUGAGAAAGAAAUUGUUGCUGGUAGCAGAAAGACACUGGAGCAAAACAGAGUGCAGCCAAAGGAAAGGCCUUAUUAGUAGGCUGUAGCAAGAGUUAGGAAGAAGUUUGGAAGGUUCCAGAUGGCUGGUGACCAGUCCUCAGUGAUGACAACUCAAUGCUUCCGCAGAAAAACAACUGCUACAAACCUGCCAGCACAGGUCGUGAGAUCACUGAAACAAACAUCUCUGGAGCAGGGUGAUUAUGAUAUACAGAGGCCCACUGCUACAGAAAGCUCAGUUUAUACAUGGAAGACCUGGAGAAAACAUAAUCUCACAAACCAAAUUUAUAGAAGAGGUGAGAUUAUAUUGAUUCUGAAGAUGAGGAACGUUUUGUCUAAUUGCAUCUCUUGAAAUUAUCACUUUACAGUAGUUAUGAGAUUGUUUGAUCAUUAUUUGUAUAUCUUCACUGCAGGGCAGAAUAUUGUUCCUGUCUUCUCUGAUUUAUAGACUCUAGGGGCUGGCAAACAUUGGUCUGCGGCCUGUUAAUUUUUGUUUUUAACUUUUCAUUGAUUCCUUGUGAAUUUCACAUCAUACACCCUAAUCCCUCUCAUCUCCGAAUCCCUCCAUAUCUGCCCUCCACCCUUGCAACCUUCCUCCC